AUGGGUGCGGGGAGCCCGGCGGUGCCAGCGCGGCGUCUCCUUCGCCGAAUUGAGCCAAGGACUUUGGUCAGGGCGCAGGGGGCGAGUUUGGAGGCAGGGACGAAUCCAGGUCAACCCCGGCCGCUCCCCGACGCCACCGCGACGCCGCUGGUGCCAGCACGGCCACCGGGCAGGGGCACCGGGCACGGGCACCACGGGGGGGCUGGCACACGGGGGGGGGGCUGGCAGUGCCGUGCGAGCUGCCCGGGCUCCAGUUUCCAUCCUCAGGCCCAGCACCCGGUGCCACGCAGCCCCCCCAGCACGGCUGGAAGCCCCCCUCUGCGGGGGCUCCUUGCAGAGACCCCAACCCCGGGGGGUGCCGGGGCCGGGGGCUCACGGUGCCGCGGGGAGCCCCCAGCCCGGUGCCCCGGCAGCCGAGGUUAUGGGGCAGAGCAGGGAGCUCCCCACCAUUGUCCCGCGCCCCCCGGUGCUGCUGACCCAGCACCCGGCCACAAAACCGCCUCCGUCCCCAAAACCGGGGGCACCGGGCUGGGUGCCAAGGCGGGGGGUGGCAGGACAGGGCCCCGCACCGGGCUCCCGGCAGCAGAACGGCAGCCGGGGCUCCCCGGGAUGCUCACCGGCCCCUCACCGUGCCCGUCCCCGGGCCACACCGAGGGCUGCGGGAGCGGCGGUGGCGGUGCCCGCCCCGAGGACACGGCGGCUGCUAUUUCGGGAGCGCAUCCCGGGAGGUCGAGUGACAACCAGGCGCGGGGGGCGGCGCAGGCUCGGGGACGCUGCGGUGCUGCCAGCACCGGGGCUGCCACCGGGAUCGCACCGGCAGGGCCCCCGGUGCCCACAGCCCCCGGUGCUGUGUCCGCGUCCCCCCGGUGUCCCCACGCACCCAGGGGAACGGGCCCGGAGCCGCCGUGGGGACGCGCGGUGACAUCCCGGGGGGCACCGGGCUCGGCUGCAGCUCCCGGUAACACCGGGUGGGCUCCGGUGGGCACCGAACCCCCCCCCCAGGGACCCCGCGGAGGGGAGCAGGGAAGUGCCGGGGACCUGCCGGGCCCGUGUCCCCCCCCGGGGCGUCCCCACCUCGGUCCCCCGGUGCCGCCGUGUCACCGCCAGGGCCACCGCCACCGGUACCGGUACCGGCAGGGCCCCGCGGUGUGGAUCCGGGGCAGGGCCGUGCCCGGUGCUGGCCGCUUACCGUGGCGCUGCCCCGUGCCCCGGGACCUCCAUACCGGGGGGACCGGGCCGGGACGAGGCCGGACGGCGCUGCCCGGGGCUGGCACCUCCCGGGGCUGCCCCUCCGGUACCGGUACCGCUGCCGGUGUCCGGGCCAAGCCCUGCAGGAGGCGGCGGCCGCCCCCCCGCUGAGUCAGGCCGAGCCCCCCCGGGGCCGUUCCAUCACCGGGGACACCGGGCGGGCCGCUCCGCCCUGCCACAACCGGGCCCCCCCCGGGGCCGCUCCAUCCCCGGCCCCCCGCCCCCCCCCCCCUCCGCCACCACCACCGGCAGAGGCCCCGCCGCGCCCCCCCCUCCU
rnacentral:lncRNA from 1 species